CUGAAACAGUCACUGAUCCCAACACUAAGCAGAAAAGCCUCUCUGGGGUGUUAGGGAUCAUAUGAUUAUAUGAGGUUGGGACAAAAUCCUGGAGAAACAAAAGCAGAAGCUCUCAGGGACAGAAAUAAUUAAAGCAAGAACUAGGAUUUUGAUGAAAAUGCCCUGGAGUUCUGAUGUGACUUUCUCUAUCCUGAUCCAAUGUCACAGAAUGAACGGGGAAGAUGCAGGAGAAGGUACUUUUGUAAGAUUGGGCCCUCAAGUAACCCUGGUGAUUGCUUUC
ensembl:lncRNA